UUAGUUAAAGCCAAAAUUAGAGGCAUCUUAUUGUUAAUAAGAAUAAUGAAUUUUUUCUAACUAAA